UGCGCACGCGAAAAAAUGGUUAUUUAUAAAUAACCAAAAUAAUUUCGAGACACUUGGCGUGCCAAAUGACGUCAGCAAGCAAUAAAAUAAUUUUCUCAGUCCUCCCCUGGAUAAGCACGCAUUUCCGCACUGUCGCGUUAUUGAAAUUAGAUCGCUUGUCGCGAAAAAUUUCAUUUUGUCUGUAAGUUUCCCGCUCGGCGUGUUUUCUAUUUGUCUUUUUUGUCAAAUAAAUAUGUCUCAAACGCACAAUCUCCAAAGAGCAAUUACCGAGGCCGUAGGAAGAGCAGUACACGAGGCACUGCGAGAUCAACAUGAAGAGUCCUCUGAUGCAGCUACUGCCCACGAAAAUAAUAAUGAACCACAGAAUUCCAACUCAAAUGAUGAAAAUAGGGGUAA